GACAGAGGGUGCAAGCGUUGUUCGGAAUCAUUGGGCGUAAAGCGCACGUAGGCGGUCAUGUAAGUCGGAUGUGAAAGCCCUGGGCUUAACCCAGGAAGUGCAUCCGAUACUGCAUGACUUGAGUCCCGGAGAGGGUGGUGGAAUUCCUGGUGUAGAGGUGAAAUUCGUAGAUAUCAGGAGGAACACCGGUGGCGAAGGCGACCACCUGGACGGAGACUGACGCUGAGGUGCGAAAGCGUGGGGAGCAAACAGG
rnacentral:rRNA from 1 species